rnacentral:rRNA from 1 species
CCUACGGGUGGCAGCAGUGGGGAAUAUUGGACAAUGGGCGAAAGCCUGAUCCAGCCAUGCCGCGUGUGUGAAGAAGGCCUUCGGGUUGUAAAGCACUUUCAUUGGGGAAGAAAGCCUUGGGGCUAAUACCCUCGAGGAAGGACAUCACCCACAGAAGAAGCACCGGCUAACUCCGUGCCAGCAGCCGCGGUAAUACGGAGGGUGCGAGCGUUAAUCGGAAUUACUGGGCGUAAAGCGCGCGUAGGCGGUCUGAUAAGCCGGUUGUGAAAGCCCCGGGCUCAACCUGGGAACGGCAUCCGGAACUGUCAGGCUAGAGUGCAGGAGAGGAAGGUAGAAUUCCCGGUGUAGCGGUGAAAUGCGUAGAGAUCGGGAGGAAUACCAGUGGUGAAGGCGACCUCCUGGACUGACACUGACGCUGAGGUGCGAAAGCGUGGGUAGCAAACAGGAUUAGAUACCCUGGUAGUC